ACAGCCACUGGGAAUAGAAU
rnacentral:misc_RNA from 1 species